UGGGGGAUAUUGCACAAUGGGCGAAAGCCUGAUGCAGCGACGCCGCGUGGGGGAUGAAGGCUUUCGGGUUGUAAACCUCUUUCGCUAUCGAACAAGGCCCGCUUAGGGUGGGUUGAGGGUAGGUGGAGAAGAAGCGCCGGCUAACUACGUGCCAGCAGCCGCGGUAAUACGUAGGGCGCGAGCGUUGUCCGGAAUUAUUGGGCGUAAAGGGCUUGUAGGCGGCUUGUUGCGCCUGCUGUGAAAACGCGGGGCUUAACUUCGCGCGUGCAGUGGGUACGGGCAGGCUUGAGUGUGGUAGGGGUGACUGGAAUUCCAGGUGUAGCGGUGGAAUGCGCAGAUAUCCGGAGGAACACCGAUGGCGAAGGCAGGUCACUGGGCCAUUACUGACGCUGAGGAGCGAAAGCAUGGGUAGCGAACAGG
rnacentral:rRNA from 1 species